UACGGAGGGGGCCAGCGUUGUUCGGAAUCAUUGGGCGUAAAGGGCGCGUAGGCGGCUUUGUAAGUCCGUUGUGAAAUCCCUCGGCUCAACCGAGGAACUGCGACGGAUACUGCUUGGCUUGAGUCCCGGAGAGGGUAGCGGAAUUCCCAGUGUAGCGGUGAAAUGCGUAGAUAUUGGGAGGAACAUCGGUGGCGAAGGCGGCUACCUGGACGGAUACUGACGCUGAUGCGCGAAAGCUAGGGGAGCAAACAGG
rnacentral:rRNA from 1 species